GCCAACAUGGCGCAGUGGUUUGACCACCAGACUAGGAUUCUGGCGAAUGGGGUUCGAAUCCCUGCCCAGCCA